UCUAUUAAUUGAAGGCUUGUAUGAAUGGCUGGACGAGACAUUAACUGUUUCGGAUUAAAAGCUAGAAAUUUAUUUUUUAGUUAAAAAGCUAAAAUUUUAUUAAAAGACGAGAAGACCCUAUAGAUCUUUAUAAAUUAUAAAUUAAAUUUAUAUAGCAAAUUUAAAAUUUGAUUUAAAAAUUUAUUUUAUUGGGGUGAUAAUAAAAUUUAAUAAACUUUUAUAUAUUAGUAACAUGAAUUAAUGAAUGAUUGAUCCGUCAGUGACGAUUAAUAAAUUAAGUUACCUUAGGGAUAACAGCGUAAUUUUUUUAGAGAGUUCAUAUCGAUAAAAAAGAUUGC
rnacentral:rRNA from 1 species